UCAUUAAACAACCUCAUAUUCUUCAUGUUGACUAUGUUUGUCCUUAGGCCGAAUCUGAUCGGGAUAGUCUAAUAGAUAUAUUCAUCAAACAAACAUGACCGUUAGAUUUUAAGGAAAAUAAUUGGCACAUAAAGGAAUGAAAAAUCUAGCAAAUGUGAACAAAAAAAUGUACUCAUUAUUAAACCUUACUAUAGAAGUAGUGUGUAGUUUCUUUUUAAUAACAAUUUCAAAAUACGGACUGUCACCAUUUAAGUUCACAAAGCUGUGUUGACUGCUAUUUUUUGGACCAACUUCUUCACUUCUACUAUUAGCUUCUCCGACCUCCUGAUCUGGAACAAACUUGAGAUAAGUAUCACAACUACUAUGAUAUGAUUCCUAGCUACAUAAAUGUUAUGGAAUAUUUAAGUCCACAAGUUUUUAAAGUCUUAUGGCCACAUAUAUUGAUGUCAUAACAUGUUUAUAAUCAUUAGUAUUAACAGUAAGCUUCAUUUCAUUUUUAAACUCUAUGCAUCUAUAAAAAGUUUUAUCGCAUUAAUUGAAACAUUGGAGUUGCUUCUUGUUUUUAGGACAGAUUGAGGAUCUUAAUUACUUAUAAGUUUUACUCGCGUUGAUCUUACUAUACUAAAAAAAAUCUCUUAAAUAGUUUAAGAUGUCUAACAAUCUUUUGG
rnacentral:lncRNA from 1 species